rnacentral:snoRNA from 1 species
ACAGACUGAAAAUUACCGCUGGCCUUCUGGUAGCCUUUGGUGAGAUACCUGUGCCUAAAUGAUAGUGGAGCAUUAUGCUUAUUACCCAUAAUCCCAUGUGUGCGUAAUGAGACCCGUGUUCCUACAUUG